rnacentral:rRNA from 1 species
UACGUAGGGGGCAAGCGUUGUCCGGAUUCAUUGGGCGUAAAGAGCGUGUAGGCGGCCAGGUAGGUCGGUUGUGAAAACUGGAGGCUCAACCUUCAGAGGUCGACCGAAACCAUCUGGCUAGAGUCCGGGAGAGGAGAGUGGAAUUCCUGGUGUAGCGGUGAAAUGCGCAGAUAUCAGGAAGAACACCGGUGGCGAAGGCGGCUCUCUGGGCCUUACCUGACGCUGAGGAGCGAAAGCUGGGGGAGCGAACAGG